AUUGAACGCUGGCGGCAGGCCUAACACAUGCCAGUCGAACGGUAACAGGAAGCAGCUUGCUGCUUUGCUGACGAGUGGCGGACGGGUGAGUAAUGUCUGGGAAACUUCCUGAUGGAGGGGGAUAACUACUGGAAACGGUAGCUAAUACCGCAUAACGUCGCAAGACCAAAGAGGGGGACCUUCGGGCCUCUUGCCAUCGGAUGUGCCCAGAUGGGAUUAGCUAGUAGGUGGGGUAACGGCUCACCUAGGCGACGAUCCCUAGCUGGUCUGAGAGGAUGACCAGCCACACUGGAACUGAGACACGGUCCAGACUCCUACGGGAGGCAGCAGUGGGGAAUAUUGCACAAUGGGCGCAAGCCUGAUGCAGCCAUGCCGCGUGUAUGAAGAAGGCCUUCGGGUUGUAAAGUACUUUCAGCGGGGAGGAAGGGAGUAAAGUUAAUACCUUGGCUCAUUGACGUUACCCGCAGAAGAAGCACCGGCUAACUCCGUG
rnacentral:rRNA from 1 species